CUAAACAUGCAGUCGAGCGGAUGAAUGGAGCUUGCUCCUGGAUUCAGCGGCGGACGGGUGAGUAAUGCCUACGAAUCUGCCUGGUACUGGGGGAUAACGUCCGGAAACGGGCGCUAAUACCGCACACGUCCUGAGGGAGAAAGUGGGGGAUCUUCUGACCUCGCGCUAUCCGAUUAUCCUAUGUCGGAUUACCUACUUCGUGGGGUAAAGGCCUACCAGGGCCACCAUCCCUAACUGGUCUGACAGGAUGAUCCUUCACACUGGAACUGACACACGGUCCAUACUCCUACGGGAGGCCUCCUUGGGGAAUAUUGGACAAUGGGCCAAAGCCUGAGCCCGCCAUGCCGCGUGUGUGAAGAAGGUCUUCUGAUUGUAGAGCACUUUACGUUGGGAUGAAUGGCAGUAAGUUAAUACCUUGCUGUUUUGACGUUACCCACCUAGUAAGCACCGGCUAACUUCGUGCCAGCAACCGCGGUGAUACCAACGGUGCAAGCGUUAAUCUGAAUUACUGGGCGUAGAGCUCGCGUACGUGGUUCACCCAGUUGGAUGUGCAAUCCCCGGGCUCGACCUGGGAACUGCCUCCCAAGACUACUGGAGCUAGAGUAUGGUAGAGGGUGGUGGAAUUUACUGUGUUGCAAUUCCAUGUGUAGAUAUGAGAUGGAUCAACAUUGGCAAGAGCAACCACGUGGAAUGAUACUGACAGGGAUGUGCCAACCCUGAGGAGCAAACACGAGUAGAUCCCCUGGGAGUCCACGCCCUGGUCGAUGUCGACUAACCGUUGGGAUCCUUGAGAUCUUAGUGGCGCAGCUCAUGCGAGCAGUCGACCGCCUGUAGAGUACCCCCCCGGGGUUUAAACUCACAUGGAUUGACAGGGGCCCGCAUAAACGGUGGACCAUGUGGUUUAAGUCCAAGCAGCUCAAAUAACCUUACCUGGCCUUGACAUGCUGAGAACUUUCCACAGAUGAAUUGCUGCCUUCUGGAACUCAGACAUAGGUGCUGCAGGGCUGUCUGCAGCUCGGGUCGCGACAUCUCGGGUCAGUCCCGUAACGACCGCAACCCUUGUCCUUAGUACCAUCACCUCAGGUGGCCACUCUAGGGAGACUGCCGUGACGAACCGCAGGAAGCUGGGGAAGAGAACGAGUGGACGAGGCCCUUACGGCCAGGGCUUCACCUGCUGCAAAGGCGGUACAAAGGUUGGCGAGCAGGGGGGUGGA
rnacentral:rRNA from 1 species